GCCGGGCGUGGUGGCCACGCCUGUAAUCCCAGCACUUUGGGAGGCCGAGGCGGGUGGAUCACCUGAGGCCAGGAGCUUUGCGGCCAGCCUGGCUUACAUGGUGAAACCCCAUCUCUA
rnacentral:sRNA from 1 species